GGAUGUGAGGGCAAUCUAGAUGCGACAUCUGCCACUCCAUUGAUUGCCAGGCUUGAUUCAGCUAAUCUUGCUGGCUAGGCAGAUUUUCCUUUCCUCUCACCACUCCAUGUACAUCCCUCUUGAAGCUUGCAUUGUGUCGAAGAGGAUGACCUUCCCUGAUAGAGGAGGACUGUUCUGCAGUAAGGGUGUACAAGUAGCUGUGCUCCUCUGCUAGAGCCUCCAAACAAGCUCUCGAGAUGCUGGUGUGGCAGAAUUCCAGUACCAGUUCUAAACUCUAGAGGUAAUGUUCACAGUUACUAAGUCUUGUCU
rnacentral:snRNA from 1 species